rnacentral:rRNA from 1 species
GCUGGCGGCGUGCUUAACACAUGCAAGUCGCACGAGAACGUUUCAGCUUGCUGAAACUAGUAAAGUGGCGCACGGGUGAGUAACGCGUGGGUAAUCUACCUCCGAAUUGGGGAUAACAUUGCGAAAGCGAUGCUAAUACCGAAUGACAUCUCAAUAACUUCGGUCUUUGAGAUCAAAGGUGGCCUCUCCAUGGAAGCUACUGUUUGGAGAUGAGCCCGCGUACCAUUAGCUUGUUGGUAGGGUAAUGGCCUACCAAGGCAACGAUGGUUAGCUGGUCUGAGAGGAUGAUCAGCCACACUGGAACUGACACACGGUCCAGACUCCUACGGGAGGCAGCAGUGAGGAAUUUUGCGCAAUGGGGGAAACCCUGACGCAGCAACGCCGCGUGAGUGAUGAAGGCUUUCGGGUCGUAAAGCUCUGUCAAGUGAGAAGAACCUGCCCUUUGCUAAUAUCACUGGGCACUGACGGUAUCACUGAAGGAAGCACCGGCUAACUCCGUGCCAGCAGCCGCGGUAAUACGGAGGGUGCAAGCGUUAUUCGGAAUCACUGGGCGUAAAGAGCGCGUAGGCGGUUUCUAAAGUCAGAUGUGAAAGCCCGGGGC